rnacentral:rRNA from 1 species
ACGGAGCGCAAGCGACGUUCAACCUCAAAAGAAGCAGAGGGGGCUUAGUGGUGGGGUGACUGCGUACCUUUUGUAUAAUGGGUCAGCGACUUAUAUUCUGUAGCAAGGUUAACCGUAUAGGGGAGCCGGAGGGAAACCGAGUCUUAACCGGGCGUUAAGUUGCAGGGUAUAGACCCGAAACCCGGUGAUCUAGCCAUGGGCAGGUUGAAGGUUGGGUAACACUAACUGGAGGACCGAACCGACUAAUGUUGAAAAAUUAGCGGAUGACCUGUGGCUGGGGGUGAAAGGCCAAUCAAACCGGGAGAUAGCUGGUUCUCCCCGAAAGCUAUUUAGGUAGCGCCUCGUGAAUUCAUCUCCGGGGGUAGAGCACUGUUUCGGCUAGGGGGCCAUCCCGGCUUACCAACCCGAUGCAAACUGCGAAUACCGGAGAAUGUUAUCACGGGAGACACACGGCGGGUGCUAACGUCCGUCGUGAAGAGGGAAACAACCCAGACCGCCAGCUAAGGUCCCAAAGUCAUGGUUAAGUGGGAAACGAUGUGGGAAGGCCCAGACAGCCAGGAUGUUGGCUUAGAAGCAGCCAUCAUUUAAAGAAAGCGUAAUAGCUCACUGGUCGAGUCGGCCUGCGCGGAAGAUGUAACGGGGCUAAACCAUGCACCGAAGCUGCGGCAGCGACACUCAGGUGUUGUUGGGUAGGGGAGCGUUCUGUAAGCCUGCGAAGGUGGCCUGUGAGGGUUGCUGGAGGUAUCAGAAGUGCGAAUGCUGACAUAAGUAACGAUAAAGCGGGUGAAAAGCCCGCUCGCCGGAAGACCAAGGGUUCCUGUCCAACGUUAAUCGGGGCAGGGUGAGUCGACCCCUAAGGCGAGGCCGAAAGGCGUAGUCGAUGGGAAACGGGUUAAUAUUCCCGUACUUGGUGUUACUGCGAAGGGGGGACGGAGAAGGCUAUGUUGGCCGGGCGACGGUUGUCCCGGUUUAAGCGUGUAGGUGUGUGUUCCAGGUAAAUCCGGUUCACUUUAACACUGAGGCGUGACGACGAGGCACUACGGUGCUGAAGCAACAAAUGCCCUGCUUCCAGGAAAAGCCUCUAAGCAUCAGGUAACAUCAAAUCGUACCCCAAACCGACACAGGUGGUCAGGUAGAGAAUACCAAGGCGCUUGAGAGAACUCGGGUGAAGGAACUAGGCAAAAUGGUGCCGUAACUUCGGGAGAAGGCACGCUGACAUGUAGGUGAAGUGAUUUACUCAUGGAGCUGAAGUCAGUCGAAGAUACCAGCUGGCUGCAACUGUUUAUUAAAAACACAGCACUGUGCAAACACGAAAGUGGACGUAUACGGUGUGACGCCUGCCCGGUGCCGGAAGGUUAAUUGAUGGGGUCAGCGCAAGCGAAGCUCCUGAUCGAAGCCCCGGUAAACGGCGGCCGUAACUAUAACGGUCCUAAGGUAGCGAAAUUCCUUGUCGGGUAAGUUCCGACCUGCACGAAUGGCGUAAUGAUGGCCAGGCUGUCUCCACCCGAGACUCAGUGAAAUUGAACUCGCUGUGAAGAUGCAGUGUACCCGCGGCAAGACGGAAAGACCCCGUGAACCUUUACUAUAGCUUGACACUGAACAUUGAGCCUUGAUGUGUAGGAUAGGUGGGAGGCUUUGAAGUGUGGACGCCAGUCUGCAUGGAGCCGACCUUGAAAUACCACCCUUUAAUGUUUGAUGUUCUAACGUGGACCCGUGAUCCGGGUUGCGGACAGUGUCUGGUGGGUAGUUUGACUGGGGCGGUCUCCUCCUAAAGAGUAACGGAGGAGCACGAAGGUUGGCUAAUCCUGGUCGGACAUCAGGAGGUUAGUGCAAUGGCAUAAGCCAGCUUGACUGCGAGCGUGACGGCGCGAGCAGGUGCGAAAGCAGGUCAUAGUGAUCCGGUGGUUCUGAAUGGAAGGGCCAUCGCUCAACGGAUAAAAGGUACUCCGGGGAUAACAGGCUGAUACCGCCCAAGAGUUCAUAUCGACGGCGGUGUUUGGCACCUCGAUGUCGGCUCAUCACAUCCUGGGGCUGAAGUAGGUCCCAAGGGUAUGGCUGUUCGCCAUUUAAAGUGGUACGCGAGCUGGGUUUAGAACGUCGUGAGACAGUUCGGUCCCUAUCUGCCGUGGGCGCUGGAGAACUGAGGGGGGCUGCUCCUAGUACGAGAGGACCGGAGUGGACGCAUCACUGGUGUUCGGGUUGUCAUGCCAAUGGCACUGCCCGGUAGCUAAAUGCGGAAGAGAUAAGUGCUGAAAGCAUCUAAGCACGAAACUUGCCCCGAGA